rnacentral:tRNA from 1 species
GAUAUGAUGCCUGAUAAAAGGUUUGUUUUGAUAGGACAACUCAUGUAGAUUCCCCUACUCAUAUUA